rnacentral:rRNA from 1 species
AGCGAACGCUGGCGGCAGGCCUAACACGUGCAAGUCGAACGAACCCUUCGGGGUUAGUGGCGGACGGGUGAGUAACACGUGGGAACGUGCCUUUAGGUUCGGAAUAACUCAGGGAAACUUGUGCUAAUACCGAAUGUGCCCUUCGGGGGAAAGAUUUAUCGCCUUUAGAGCGGCCCGCGUCUGAUUAGCUAGUUGGUGAGGUAAUGGCUCACCAAGGCUACGAUCAGUAGCUGGUCUGAGAGGAUGACCAGCCACAUUGGGACUGAGACACGGCCCAAACUCCUACGGGAGGCAGCAGUGGGGAAUCUUGCGCAAUGGGCGAAAGCCUGACGCAGCCAUGCCGCGUGGAUGAUGAAGGUCUUAGGAUUGUAAAUCCUUUCACCGGUGAAGAUAAUGACUGUAGCCGGAGAAGAAGCCCCGGCUAACUUCGUGCCAGCAGCCGCCGUAACAC